AUUGAACGCUGGCGGCAGGCUUAACACAUGCAAGUCGAGCGGGGGAAGGUAGCUUGCUUCCGGACCUAGCGGCGGACGGGUGAGUAAUGCUUAGGAAUCUGCCUAUUAGUGGGGGACAACAUCUCGAAAGGGAUGCUAGUACCGCAUACGUCCCACGGGAGAAAGCAGGGGAUCUUCGGACCUUGCGCUAAUAGAUGAGCCUAAGUCGGAUUAGCUAGUUGGUGGGGUAAAGGCCUACCAAGGCGACGAUCUGUAGCGGGUCUGAGAGGAUGAUCCGCCACACUGGGACUGAGACACGGCCCAGACUCCUACGGGAGGCAGCAGUGGGGAAUAUUGGACAAUGGGGGGAACCCUGAUCCAGCCAUGCCGCGUGUGUGAAGAAGGCCUUAUGGUUGUAAAGCACUUUAAGCGAGGAGGAGGCUACUCUAGUUAAUACCUAGGGAUAGUGGACGUUACUCGCAGGAUAAGCACCGGCUAACUCUGUGCCAGCCGCCGCGGUAA
rnacentral:rRNA from 1 species